CUUGUUCCUUACGGAGGUGUAGAAAAUCUGUAGCAUGAUGUAAUGGAAUUAAGAAUGGGUCAAUGAAAUAUACAGCUCCUUUCUGGAAUGUACCUGUUCUGCUACAACCAUGGAUAUCCUGACCUUUCUGUGCCUUUCAGGGACAAGGGUAAUAGAGGAGUUUCAGACUCCCUCUAAAACAAAACAACAACUGAACAAUAAACAACAGAAAAAGAACACAAAAAAAGACGGUGGUACUCUUUCCCCUUUCCUUGCUUUCUCCUGCUACCAAAACAAACAACAAAAACUACAUUGUCUCAUUGGAUGACGAAGCUAAAAUUUUGUAGCAAAUCUAUAGAAGAAAAGAAGUGGAAAUCUACUCAAGAGCUACUGUAAAACACUGUAUACAAAACAACCACUUUGAUUCACAUUAAAAAGUGUUAUCUGUUUCUUUGAAAAAAAAAAAAAAAA
rnacentral:lncRNA from 1 species